rnacentral:rRNA from 1 species
CGUGUAGGCGGCCAGGUAAGUCAGAUGUGAAAGUCCCGGGCUCAACUCGGGAAGUGCAUUUGAAACUGCUUGGCUUGAGUAGGAGAGAGGAAAGUGGAAUUCCUGGUGUAGAGGUGAAAUUCGUAGAUAUCAGGAGGAACACCGGUGGCGAAGGCGGCUUUCUGGCUCUAUACUGACGCUGAGACGCGAAAGCGUGGGGAGCAAACAGGAUUAGAUACCCUGGUAGUCC